rnacentral:rRNA from 1 species
GACGAACGCUGGCGGCGUGCCUAAUACAUGCAAGUCGAACGCAGUGGGGACGGGUGAGUAACACGUGGGUAACCUCCCAUCAGAGGGGAUAACACUUGGAAACAGGUGCUAAACCGAUCCUGAUGGAUGGACCCGGGGUGCAUUAGCUAGUUGGUGAGGUAACGGCGCACCAAGGCCACGAUGCAUAGCCUACCUGAGAGGGUGUGCGGCCCAAAUGGGACUGAGACACGGCCCCGACUCCUACGGGAGGAAGCAGUAGGUAAUAUUAGGAAAUGGACGAAAGUCUGAACGAGAAACGCCGCGUGAGUGAAGAAGGUUUUGGGAUCUUAAAACUCUGUUGUUAGAGAAGCGGUAUCUAACCAGAAAGCCACGGCUAACUACGUGCCAGCAGCCGCUGUAAUUC